CCGCCCUCCGCCCCCGAAGCUGGGCGGCCCGAGGCGGAAGCGCAGCCCGGGCCGGGGGGCUGCCGGUCCCCCGCCGCCGGGCACCUCGCGCGCGGAGCCGUCGCGGGGCGCGGGCCGGGCCGGGCCCCCCGGUCGCUGGGACGCGGCCCGGUCCCCCAGGCCGCCGGACGUCGGCGCCCCCGCGGCCGCCCCGCGCCAGCCCAGCCCGACGGCGCCGGCGGCUGCACGGGUCCGAGCAGCGCCGCGCGGCCCCGCCACUCACCCGGCUGCGGACCUCGGCCGAGAGCCCGUACGCGGGCCCGGCGGUGAACGCGGAGCUCAUGGCUGCGCCGCCGACCCUCGCGCGGGACUGAGCGGGCCCUCGGGCCGGCGCCGCCCCCGCCGCCCAUUGGCCGCCGCGCUGGCCUUAUAAGGCCGGGAGACCGAGGCCGCGCCCCGCCCCGCGCCCCCCAGCUGGACGGAGGAAGCCCCCGUCCUCAGGGACAGUCCCUCAAUAGUCCAGAACCAACCGGACACAGAACCCACCAGCCCACCCUCUCUGCCUGGAGGAGAAGCCAGAGGGAAGGAGGGACCUAGGUCUGGAGGAGUCUGGAAGGAGAGUCGGGGUUAGAGAAACGGGUCGACACAGGGGACAUGGAACCUGGGGUUUUGAAGCAUGAGUAGGAGUUGGACACAUCUGUGAGGAGGACACUGCGUCCAGCUUCUGGAG